rnacentral:rRNA from 1 species
CUCAGACACGCUGGCGGCGUGCCUAAUACAUGCAAGUUGAGCGCUGAAGGUUGGUACUUGUACCGACUGGAUGAGCAGCGAACGGGUGGGUAACGCGUGGGGAAUCUGCCUUUGAGCGGGGGACAACAUUUGGAAACGAAUGCUAAUACCGCAUAAAAACUUUAAACACAAGUUUUAAGUUUGAAAGAUGCAAUUGCAUCACUCAAAGAUGAUCCCGCGUUGUAUUAGCUAGUUGGUGAGGUAAAGGCUCACCAAGGCGAUGAUACAUAGCCGACCUGAGAGGGUGAUCGGCCACAUUGGGACUGAGACACGGCCCAAACUCCUACGGGAGGCAGCAGUAGGGAAUCUUCGGCAAUGGACGAAAGUCUGACCGAGCAACGCCGCGUGAGUGAAGAAGGUUUUCGGAUCGUAAAGCUCUGUUGGUAGAGAAGAACGUUGGUGAGAGUGGAAAGCUCAUCAAGUGACGGUAACUACCCAGAAAGGGACGGCUAACUACGUG